rnacentral:rRNA from 1 species
ACAGGGAUUGCCCUAGUAACGGCGAGUGAAGCGGCAACAGCUCAAAUUUGAAAUCUGGCUCUUUUAGAGUCCGAGUUGUAAUUUGCAGAGGGCGCUUUGGCUUUGGCAGCGGUCCAAGUUCCUUGGAACAGGACGUCACAGAGGGUGAGAAUCCCGUACGUGGUCGCUGGCUAUUGCCGUGUAAAGCCCCUUCGACGAGUCGAGUUGUUUGGGAAUGCAGCUCUAAAUGGGAGGUACAUUUCUUCUAAAGCUAAAUAUUGGCCAGAGACCGAUAGCGCACAAGUAGAGUGAUCGAAAGAUGAAAAGCACUUUGGAAAGAGAGUCAAACAGCACGUGAAAUUGUUGAAAGGGAAGCGCUUGCAGCCAGACUUGCUUGCAGUUGCUCAUCCGGGCUUUUGCCCGGUGCACUCUUCUGUAGGCAGGCCAGCAUCAGUUUGGGCGGUAGGAUAAAGGUCUCUGUCACGUACCUCUCUUCGGGGAGGCCUUAUAGGGGAGACGACAUACUACCAGCCUGGACUGAGGUCCGCGCAUCUGCUAGGAUGCUGGCGUAAUGGCUGUAAGCGGCCCGUCUUGAAACACGGACCAAGGAGUCUAACAUCUAUGCGAGUGUUUGGGUGUCAAGCCCGAGCGCGUAAUGAAAGUGAACGGAGGUGGGACCCCGCAAGGGUGCACCAUCGACCGAUCCUGAUGUCUUCGGAAGGAUUUGAGUAAGAGCAUGGCUGUUGGGACCCGAAAGAUGGUGAACUAUGCUUGAAUAGGGUGAAGCCAGAGGAAACUCUGGUGGAGGCUCGCAGCGGUUCUGACGUGCAAAUCGAUCGUCAAAUUUGGGCAUAGGGGCGAAAGACUAAU